CCCCCUCACACUCAACGAAACACCCCCUCAAACUACACGACACUCUGAUUGGGUCUCAAGAGACUGCGUCUGAAACGUGAUGACGUUUACGUUGACCGAGUAUGAAGAGAGAGAACCCGAAAAAGAAACACGGGAAAAACACGGGAAACUGACGGAGGAAAAGAGCAACACUACGUUCAGUGAAGGAGCAGGCCCUGAGCUGAGAAGAUGCGACUCGGACACUGAUCUGCACAAAAAAGGGGAGCUAUGCAAAGAUUGUGGCUCAUCUGCAGGGACACCAAAGGUCAAUGAUGGAGUACGGUGGAUACAGUGUAUACAGAUGCCACCCUGACUGUGUGAAAAGCAGCCACUACCACUGUUGGUUUUGCACAACAAUCAUUGCGACCAAACAAUAUUUCAUCAAGCAUUUCAUAACCUGCUGCAAGACAGCAUCCACAGCAACUCCAAAAUCCACAGUGACCCUAGCAUCUACUGAAAUAUUGUUGGCAAAGCACUCUAAAACAACAUGCGGUUUUUGUAGCAAAACAGUGCUUAGAAAAAACCUCAAAACACACAUUGAAAGGCAACACAAGGUGAAAUCAUUAGACAUAACAGCAGAUUACCACCUUAACUCUGUGUGUGUUGACAGGAGAAUUGGAAUUUUUGCAGUGUCAAGAUCUUUUAAGGGUACUGCACACUACAUCCAUGCCCAAAAAUGUACCUGGGGUAGUAACCCCAGUAGGCCUAUAUUAAACACACCUUUUUGUUACAGACAGGUUGCCAUGAUGUUGUGUGAAGUUUGCAAAAACAAAUGAAAUUAUUCAAAAUGUUACAUUGUACAGAAGUGUGUUCACAGUGGAAUUUGUGAUACUAUAUUGUAUAAACGUGAUAUUAUAUUGUAUAAACGUGAUAAUUAUAUCACAAACGUGAUAUUAUAUUGUAUAAACGUGAUAAUUAUAUCACAUAAACGUGAUCCUAUAUUGUAUAAACGUGAUAAUUAUAUCACAAACGUGAUAUUAUAUUGUAUAAACGUGAUAAUUAUAUCACAUAAAUGUGAUAUUAUAUUGUAUAAACGUGAUAAUUAUAUCACAUAAACGUGAUACUAUAUUGUAUUGACGUGAUAAUUAUAUCACAUAAUCGUGAUAAUUAUAUCCCAAAAACGUGAUACUAUAUUGUGUAAACGUGAUGUUCAAAGAACUUUUCCAAUUGGCAUUUAUAUAUUUUAGCAGUUUGGCUAUAACAUUUCAUACUUUACAAAGUGACAUUAAUUAUUCACAAAUUUCACAGAAAGUACAUUUCUGUGUUCAUAAACGUCAACACGAGUAUUUAUUCUUCUCUAUUCCUGUCGCACACCGGGAUAAAAGUCUCUUGUCAACAAGUGUCUGUGAAAUACUCGUGUGUGUAAAUAAAGUUUCAAUAAAAGAAGACGUUAUCACGUUAGUAAACGUCAUCACGUUAGUAAACGUCAUCACGUUUCAGACGCAGUCUCUUGAGACCCAAUCAGAGUGUCGUGUAGUGUGA